CAUCAGGCACAGAGGGUUUGAUCAUGGCUCAGAUUGAACGCUGGCGGGAUGCUUUACACAUGCAAGUCGAACAGCGGCACGGACCGGUCUGGUGGCAGGUAGCCGAACGGGUGAGUAAUGUAUCGGAACGUGCCUAGUAGCGGGGAUAGCACGCGAAAGCGUAGCUAAUACCGCAUACGCCCUUCGAGGAAAGCGGGGGACCUUCGGGCCUCGCACUAUUAGAGCGGCCGAUAUCGGAUUAGCUAGUUGGUGGGGUGCGGCUCACCAAGGCGACGAUCCGUAGCUGGUUUGAGAGGACGACCAGCCACACUGGGACUGAGACACGGCGAACUCUACGGGAGGCAGCAGUGGGGAAUUUUGGACAAUGGGGAAACCCUGAUCCAGCCAUCCCGCGUGUGCGAUGAAGGCCUUCGGGUUGUAGGCACUUUUGGCAGAAGAAACGGCACGGGAUAAUACCCCGUGCAACUGACGGUACCUGCAGAAUAAGCACCGGCUAACUACGUGCCAGCAGCCGCGGUAAUACGUAAGGGUGCAAGCGUUAAUCGGAAUUACUGGGCGUAAAGCGUGCGCGGGCGGUUCGGAAAGAAAAGAUGUGAAGUCCAGAGCUUAACUUUGGAACUGCAUUUUUAACUACAAACUAGAGUAUUAUGGAGAGGGAGGUGGAAUUCCGCGUGUAGCAGUGAAAUGCGUAGAUAUGCGGAGGAACACACCGAUACGGCAGAAGACGGCCCUCCUGGGAUAACACUGACGCUCAUGCGAAAGCCGUGAGGCAAACAGGAUUAGAUACCCUGGUAGUCCCGCCCUAAACGAUGUCAACUAGCUGUUGGGGGCCUUCGGGCCUUGGUAGCGCAACUAACGCGUGAGAUUGACCGCCUGCGAUACGGUCGCAAGAUUAAAACUCAAGGUGGCGGGACCCGCACAAGCGGUGGAUGAUGUGGAUGAAUUCGAUGCAGCAUGAAAAACGCCUACCCUUGACUGUCUGGAAUCCCGAAGAGAUUUGGGAGUGCUCGCAAGAGGACCGGAACACAGGUGCUGCAUGGCUGUCGUCAGCUCGUGUCGUGAGAUGUUGGGUUAAGUCCCGCAACGAGCGCAACCCUUGUCGUGGAUUGCUACGAAAGGGCACUCUAAUGAGACUACCGAUGACAAACCGGAGGAAGGUGGGGAUGACGUCAAAGUCCUCAUGGCCCUUAUGGGUAGGGCUUCACCGUCAUACAAUGGUCAAGGACAGAGGGGUCGCCAACCCGCGAGGAGCCAAUCCCAGAAACCCGAUCGUAGUCCGGAUCGCAGUCUGCAACUCGACUGCGUGAAGUCCCGGAAUCGCUAUCGCGGAUCAGCAUGUCGCGGUGAAUACGUUCCCGGGUCUUGUACACACCGCCCGUCACACCAUGGGGUUUUGCAGAAGUAGUUAACCUUCGCGUAAGGAGGGCGAUUACCACAGUAGGAUUAAGGCUGGGGUGAAGUCGUAACAGGGUAG
rnacentral:rRNA from 1 species